AUGUCUCCUCUUCCUCCUCUCUAUCUCUCCUCCUCCUCCUCCUUGUCCUCUCCAUCUCCUUCAUCUCUCCUCUUCAACCUCUCUAUCUCUCCUCUUCCUCCUCCUUGUCCUCUCCAUCUCUCCUUCAUCUCUCCUCUUCCUCCUCCUUGUCCUCUCCAUCUCUCCUCUUCCUCCUCCUUGUCCUCUCUAUCUCUCCUCUUCCUCCUCCUUGUCCUCUCCAUCUCACCUUCACCUCUCCUCUUCCUCCUCUCUAUCUCUCCUCUUCCUCCUCCUUGUCCUCUCCAUCUCUCCUUCAUCUCUCCUCUUAAUCUCUCCUUCAUCUCUCCUCUUCAACCUCUCUAUCUCUCCUCUUCCUCCUCCUUGUCCUCUCCAUCUCUCCUUCAUCUCUCCUCUUCCUCCUCCUUGUCCUCUCCAUCUCUCCUCUUCCUCCUCCUUGUCCUCUCCAUCUCUCCUUCAUCUCUCCUCUUCCUCCUCUCUAUCUCUCCUCUUCCUCCUCCUUGUCCUCUCCAUCUCUCCUCUUCCUCCUCCUUGACAUCUCCAUCUCUCCUCUUCCUCUCUAUCCCUCCUCUUUCUACUCCUUGUCCUCUCCAUCUCUCCUCUUCUCUAUCUCUCCUCUUCCUCCUCCUUGUCCUCUCCAUCUCUCCUCCAUCCUUCUCCUUGUCCUCUCAUCUCUCCUCUUCCUCCUCCUUGUCCUCUCCAUCCUUCUCCUUGUCCUCUCCAUCUCUCCUCUUCCUCCUCUCUAUCUCUCCUCUUCCUCCUCCUUGUCCUCUCCAUCUCUCCUCCAUCCUCCUCCUUGUCCUCUCAUCUCUCCUCUUCCUCCUCCUUGUCCUCUCCAUCUCUCCUCUUCCUCCUCCUUGUCCUCUCCAUCUCUCCUCUUCCUCCUCCUUGUCCUCUCCAUCUCUCCUCUUCCUCCUCCUUGUCCUCUCCAUCUCUCCUCUUCCUCCUCCUUGUCCUCUCAUCUCUCCUCUUCCUCCUCCUUGUCCUCUCCAUCUCUCCUCCAUCCUUCUCCUUGUCCUCUCCAUCUCUCCUCUUCCUCCUCUCUAUCUCUCCUCUUCCUCCUCCUUGUCCUCUCCAUCUCUCCUCCAUCCUCCUCCUUGUCCUCUCAUCUCUCCUCUUCCUCCUCCUUGUCCUCUCCAUCUCUCCUCCAUCCUCCUCCUUGUCCUCUCCAUCUCUCCUCCAUCCUCCUCCUUGUCCUCUCCAUCUCUCCUCUUCCUCCUCCUUGUCCUCUCCAUCUCUCCUCUUCCUCCUCCUUGUCCUCUCCAUCUCUCCUCUUCCUCCUCCUUGUCCUCUCCAUCUCUCCUCUUCCUCCUCCUUGUCCUCUCAUCUCUCCUCUUCCUCCUCCUUGUCCUCUCCAUCUCUCCUCCAUCAUUCUCCUUGUCCUCUCCAUCUCUCCUCUUCCUCCUCUCUAUCUCUCCUCUUCCUCCUCCUUGUCCUCUCCAUCUCUCCUCCAUCCUCCUCCUUGUCCUCUCAUCUCUCCUCUUCCUCCUCCUUGUCCUCUCCAUCUCUCCUCUUCCUCCUCCUUGUCCUCUCCACCUCUCCUCUUCCUCCUCCUUGUCCUCUCCAUCUCUCCUCUUCCUCCUCCUUGUCCUCUCCAUCUCUCCUCCAUCCUCCUCCUUGUCCUCUCCAUCUCUCCUCCAUCCUCCUCCUUGUCCUCUCCAUCUCUCCUCUUCCUCCUCCUUGUCCUCUCCAUCUCUCCUCUUCCUCCUCCUUGUCCUCUCCAUCUCUCCUAUUCCUCCUCCUUGUCCUCUCCAUCUCUCCUCUUCCUCCUCCUUGUCCUCUCCAUCUCUCCUCCAUCCUCCUCCUUGUCCUCUCCAUCUCUCCUCCAUCCUCCUCCUUGUCCUCUCCAUCUCUCCUCUUCCUCCUCCUUGUCCUCUCCAUCUCUCCUCUUCCUCCUCCUUGUCCUCUCAUCUCUCCUCUUCCUCCUCCUUGUCCUCUCCAUCUCUACUUCAUCUAUACUCUUCCUCGUCUCCACCUCGCCUCUUCACCCUGACUUAUGAUGACAGCUGUAAAGGGAUGAUUCAUCUCCAUGCCCUAGCAACCUGUCCACCCCGGCCGGCUCACACCGGUUUACAUUUAUUAAUGUGGUCCACUGAGGAGCAGACCUGUCAGGUUUGUUCUGAAGAACCUUUAGAAUCAGGCAGCUUUGAAGGUCAGUGA
ensembl:lncRNA